CUCCGCUUGGUGUAGUUGGUUUAUCACGUUCGACUGUAAUAUUCGUUGUAAUCGAAAGGUCCCUAGUUCGAUUCUGGGAGCGGAGA